UCUAUUUUUUUUAAAGGUAGUCUUGUAUUUAAUCAGCACACUAACAUGGUUGCAAGUUCUUUAGUUAGCAUGUCAUGUAAGAUGCCAUGCAGCUCUUAUUUACGAGCAACAUACUCAUAUGGAGUUUCAGUGUUUCAUUUAAAAAGGCUAUUUUUAAAAUAAAAAUAAUUUAUUCAUUCAUAAAAUGAUCUUUGACAUAAAUGGCAAACAACCUGAAUGUGUAUGCGCUGAUCAGUUUUGUCCCGUCUGCACAGCGCCGCAUUUCAGUCGCGCGCCUCUCGCGAGUGAUCACAUAAAAGCGCGCGAGCGCCGCUGUUUAAACUUCAACGGUUCACGGUGCGCUGAAUGCGCUCAGCGCUCGAGAGAACGACGAUUACAUUGUUAGCAACCCGUUUAUUUCAAGAAGCUAAAAGAAGAAAGGUGGUUUAUCGCGUUGUCCAGGCCUGCGCAGUUCUCCGCCGGGAGAUUGGACCUAUACAUAUACAGGAAAAGAUGGAACAAAGUUUCAGUCAAAUCGCCGUCAGACUGCCGUUAUAAACAUGAAUUCAAACCAAGAAGGACAAAGAGAGAAGCUGAUGGGGAUGUUUCCAUUUUUUCUGUGGAUAACUGUGAGUAUUUGGUGUUUGCAGUUAUAGUAUAGUGAAAUAAAUAUUUGUUUUGCUGAAGUAAUUGUAUAUUAUUCAAAACACACUGUAUUUGGUUGUUGUAGAUGUUCAUCUAUCCCAUGAGAGAGCACUGUUAAAGUUUUAGCACCAGCUUAUCAGAGAGCUGAAAAGUGAGAGUCAGAGGAAACGUUACCAACCUGCUGCAAAACAGCACAAAAGUUACAUUUAUUUUUCCUAACAGUUCCAACUGAAACUCAAUCAUCUAAUCUCAAGUUACUGAUAUCUUUUUUUUCUAUUUUCCACCUUUUAUCAUGCAAGUUCUUAUUGAUUGAUAAAUAAAUAAAUAAAUAUUUUGCACUGUCACUGCAGGUCUGGACUACUUGUUUGGUCAUCUACAUUCAGAUGAAAACACCACACUUCAAGUAAGUUUUAAUGUAAUUGAGAAAUUCUUUUCUUUUUCCUGUUGUACUGUAUAGGUCUAAUAAAUGUUUCUCAGACUUGUAUCCCCAUUUUAGGAUGUCAAGCCUACUCAACGCAAAGAGAGUUAACAUCAAAAUGGAUGUGUCACUGACCAAUAACAGAGAUGCCAGAAGUAUCUGUUUGCAGUCUACUUUUUGUUCGGUAUGGAGCAUCCAAAAUCCAUCAUUCAGUUAAUUUCAAUCAUUACUAUUUAGCCCUUCCCAGUGCCAAAAUUGUCCUGUGUCCUUUGUUUUUAUUGUUUAAAUGCUGAUCUGAAUGUAAAAUUAAUAUUUAAUGCUUAUAAAUAAAUUUAAAAAAACAAUACUAUGGUUAGUCUUUUAGCUCCCUUUUCAGAAACAUGUGGUUCACCAUUUUUCAUGGGUUACUGAACUGGGGAAAGUUGCAGCAUACAAAAAAAAGUCAGACUACUUGAUUUAUAGGUUUUUAGGAGAAUGUGGAGUAAAUACUUGACAUUUAUUUAAGGUAAAGUGUAAUGACCUGGUGGUGAGAUGCAAAAUAAGAUUGUCAUUAAUAUACUAUUUGAUGACAAACUUUUCACAUUCUAAUUUUACUUAUGCAUUUAAUUUUUUUUAAUUAUUUUUGCAAGUUAACUAUUUAUUUGUGCAAGUUAACAUUCAAAUUUUUUUUUUGGUGGUGGUGGUGGUUUCUAGCAAUCAACAUAUUUGUGACUGACAUGUUGGAUGGGUGAGUAAGGUGGAGGGGGUUGAAAAAACAAUAUUUCUAAAAUGGAGAGUGCUAUUUUAGGUUGACAGGUAAAAAUAUAUAUUUUUAAAAGGUAUAAAUAAAUAAAGAAACAUGGAUUUGUGUUAAUCCCUGUAACUGUUACACUAUGAAUUGCUGUGUUAUAUAUUGCUUGUCAUUGUAAAUGCUAAUAAAAGUGUCUUAAAUGAUCACACAACUCCUUGAUGUCUUAUGCUUAUAGUUAUUUCAGUUUUUCUAGUGAUAAAGUAGCUAUAUGAGCUGUUCAAGUCUUAAAAUGUAAUUAAAAUAAAACAAAAAUUUAAUCCCAAAAAUGAUCCCAUGAUGGGAACCCCUAAAGUGUUCUAUAUAGAACCUUUUUUCCUGGCUACAAAGAACCCUAAAGGGUUCUUUUGAUUGAACCCUUAAAAAGGGUUCUAUAUAGAACCUUUUAGGGGUUCCAAAUACGUAGCGCCUGAUAGAACCUUUUAAGGUUCUAUAUAGAACCUUUUCUUCUAAGAGUGUAGCCUUAAACGGGUCCCAAAAGUUCUAAAAAAGGGCAGACUUCCAUAAAUGGAGGGCACUCAAUUGAACAGUGCAUGCACAUAACAUUCUUAGGAUUUUUCACACCCAGGAAUAUUUGGCAUUUGCCUUUCCUUAGUAGACCUACGUUCCUCAGGCCUGCC